rnacentral:rRNA from 1 species
UACGGGGGGUGCGAGCGUUGUCCGGAAUCACUGGGCGUAAAGGGCGCGUAGGUGGUUUGAUAAGGGUGUGGUGAAAGUCCGGAGCUCAACUCCGGAUCUGCCGUGCCGACUGUCAAACUCGAGGGCUGUAGAGGCAGACGGAAUUCCGGGUGUAGCGGUGGAAUGCGUAGAGAUCCGGAGGAAGACCGGUGGCGAAGGCGGUCUGCUGGGCAGUUUCUGACACUGAG